rnacentral:rRNA from 1 species
UACGAGGGGUCCUAGCGUUGUUCGGAAUCAUUGGGCGUAAAGAGCUCGUAGGUGGCUUAGUAAGUCAGGUGUGAAAGCCCAGGGCUCAACCCUGGAAGUGCACUUGAAACUGCAUAGCUUGAGUACGGUAGAGGUGAGAGGAAUUCCUGGUGUAGUGGUGAAAUACGUAGAUAUCAGGAGGAACAUCGGUGGCGAAGGCGGCUCACUGGACCAGUACUGACACUGAGGAGCGAAAGCAUGGGGAUCAAACAGG